GAUGAACGCUGGCGGCGUGCCUAAUACAUGCAAGUCGAGCGAACAGACGAGGAGCUUGCUCCUCUGACGUUAGCGGCGGACGGGUGAGUAACACGUGGAUAACCUACCUAUAAGACUGGGAUAACUUCGGGAAACCGGAGCUAAUACCGGAUAAUAUAUUGAACCGCAUGGUUCAAUAGUGAAAGACGGUUUUGCUGUCACUUAUAGAUGGAUCCGCGCCGCAUUAGCUAGUUGGUAAGGUAACGGCUUACCAAGGCAACGAUGCGUAGCCGACCUGAGAGGGUGAUCGGCCACACUGGAACUGAGACACGGUCCAGACUCCUACGGGAGGCAGCAGUAGGGAAUCUUCCGCAAUGGGCGAAAGCCUGACGGAGCAAUGCCGCGUGGGUGAUGAAGGUCUUCGGAUCGUAAAGCUCUUUUAUUGGGGAAGAACAAAUGUGUAAGUAACUAUGCACGUCUUGACGGUACCUAAUCAGAAAGCCCCGGCUAACUACGUG
rnacentral:rRNA from 1 species